UGACUGCAACAAACACUAUGCCACCUUAAUUUUGCCUUAAUUUUUUUUCCCUGCAGGAUCAAAAGUGAAAAGUAUUAAGGACUUGUCUAGUUCUAGUUCGUAGAAAAAAUAUUUCUUGAAAAGCUGAUAUCUGAAAAAAUUAUUUUUGUAUGUUUAGUUGACCAUAGAAGAAUCGUACAUUUUGCUUUAUUGAGUAUCUACUUUCACGAAUAAGUUAUAUAAAAUAUAUGCCAUGUCUUUGAUA
rnacentral:lncRNA from 1 species